UACGGAGGAUCCGAGCGUUAUCCGGAUUUAUUGGGUUUAAAGGGUGCGCAGGCGGGAGAUUAAGUCGGUGGUGAAAUUUUGCAGCUUAACUGUAACAGUGCCAUUGAUACUGGUUUUCUUGAGUGUGGAUGAAGUAGGCGGAAUUUGUGGUGUAGCGGUGAAAUGCAUAGAUAUCACGAGGAACUCCGAUUGCGCAGGCAGCUUACUAAACUACUACUGACGCUCAGGCACGAAGGCGUGGGGAGCAAACAGGAUUAGAUA
rnacentral:rRNA from 1 species